UCCUGCCUCAUUCCGGUCCGUGGUGUUUUCACCCAAAGAUGAGAACUUUCAGCCUCCACGGGACUUCAAUCUUUGAGCUUAGUACCAAUUCCCACGACAGGAAUUUCAAGUCUUCCUUCUAUGGUUCUAACAAGCACCCAUUUGCCAGAGCCAGCUCUUCAUUAAUUUUCAAAUCUUGUCAUUUCUCUGUUCGAUGUGCUGUUAGUUUUCGACCUUGCAUUGAUAUUCACAAGGGGAAAGUGAAACAAAUUGUUGGGUCAACUCUUAGAGACUCAAAGGAGGAUGGAUCAACCCUUGUAACCAAUUUUGAAUCAGAUAAGUCUGCAGCUGAGUUUGCGAAGUUGUACAAAAAAGAUGGGCUAAAGGGUGGUCAUGUAAUCAUGCUUGGAGCUGAUCCUCUAAGCCAAGAAGCAGCCAUUGAAGCAUUGCAUGCCUAUCCUGGUGGUUUGCAAGUUGGAGGUGGGAUCAAUUUAGACAAUUGUUUGAGUUACAUCGAGGAAGGAGCCAGCCAUGUCAUUGUUACUUCAUAUGUAUUUAACAACGGGCAAAUGGACCUUCAAAGGCUCAAAGGACUUGUCCAUGUUGUUGGGAAACAGAGACUUGUUUUGGACCUUAGCUGCAGAAAGAAGGAAGACAAAUAUGCCAUUGUCACUGACAGAUGGCAAAAGUUCAGUGACGUCUAUCUUGAUGUGGAAGUAUUGCAUUUUCUUGCUAAUUAUGCAGAUGAAUUUUUGGUUCAUGGUGUGGAUGUUGAAGGGAAAAAGCUGGGAAUAGACAAAGAUCUUGUGGCAUUACUGGGCGAGCACUCUCCGAUUCCUGUCACUUAUGCGGGUGGUGUCACAUUAAUGGAUGAUUUAGAGACGAUCAAAGAAGCAGGGAAGGGACAUGUGGAUGUUACUGUAGGAAGUGCCUUGGAUAUUUUUGGGGGCAAUUUAGCAUAUGGUGAUGUUGUUGCUUGGCAUGACAAUAACAGGAGGGGGCAUAAACGAGAUUUGUAGCGCCAAGCCCCAGCCCUUCUUCACGAGUUAGCAGGUGCUCCCUUAAGGUGGGUUAAGACAUGGCCUAAACUCUGUCUCUCCAGAGCAAAUCAAGUCAAACCCUUGAUUUGUCCCACUUUGGAGAUCGCUACCCCUAGAACUUCACUUUCCUGGCUUGGAGGAUCAUCUGCCAUUCUGCCUUGUUGUAUUACAGAAGUUGACUAUGGAAGCCAAGGAAUAUUUCCCGCGAUUUUCAGAUGAGGCUUGAUUUGUUUUAAUGAAAUGCACUUCACAAACAUUAAGCCUUUGUUAUUUCACAGAUUCAAUUUCAUGUUCUGAUUUUGUGUUUCUAUGUUAUAUGAAGGAAAUUUCAUCCCAUUAAGUUGAAGAGAAUUUAUUGGAAAUUUGGACAAGCUAAAGUCCGAUUUCGAUUAGCAGCUGUGGACGAUGGUGAACGGUGAGUGGCACGAAGACCAGACGUCGAGAUUUGGGUUCUGGGGUGGCUUACAAUUAAGUUUUAACUACCUAUCGGCUGUCACAAUCUUACCUGUCCCAACAUGAACAAGACAACCAAGGAAUUCCACUUUUCUACGUAAAACAGAAAAUCAAAGACAGGAACUAUUCUUUCACACAAAUC